rnacentral:lncRNA from 1 species
UCAAUUGCACUGAAGAAGUAGAGACCUUCCCACCUCCACGGUUCUCCAAUGCCAGUCACAUCGGUCUUUACAAGGCUUCCAUGGUUUGCUGCCCAAGAACAUUGGCUCUAACUAGGCACAGCCAGCAUCCAGCAUCCAGCAUCCAGCAUCCAGCAUCCAUCCAGCAUCCAGCAACCAGCAUCCAGCAUCCAGCAUCCAGCAUCCAGCAGCCAGCAGCCAGCAGCCAGCAUCCAGCAGCCAGC